GAUGAAGAACGCAGCGAAAUGCGAUAAGUAGUGUGAAUUGCAGAAUUCCGUGAAUCAUCGAAUCUUUGAACGCACAUUGCGCCCCUUGGUAUUCCGAGGGGCAUGCCUGUUCGAGCGUCAUUAUAACCCCUCAAGCUCAGCUUGGUGUUGGGGCCUGCUGCACUGGCAGCCCUUAAAAUCAGUGGCGGCGCCAUCUGGCUCUAAGCGUAGUAAUUCUUCUCGCUAUGGAGUCCUGGUGGAUGCUUGCCAUCAACCCCCAAUUUUUCUAUGGUUGACCUCGGAUCAGGUAGGGAUACCCGCUGAACUUAAGCAUAUCAAUAAGCGGAGGA
rnacentral:misc_RNA from 1 species